rnacentral:rRNA from 1 species
GAUGAACGCUGGCGGCGUGCCUAAUACAUGCAAGUCGAGCGAACAGACGAGGAGCUUGCUCCUCUGACGUUAGCGGCGGACGGGUGAGUAACACGUGGAUAACCUACCUAUAAGACUGGGAUAACUUCGGGAAACCGGAGCUAAUACCGGAUAAUAUAUUGAACCGCAUGGUUCAAUAGUGAAAGACGGUUUUGCUGUCACUUAUAGAUGGAUCCGCGCCGCAUUAGCUAGUUGGUAAGGUAACGGCUUACCAAGGCAACGAUGCGUAGCCGACCUGAGAGGGGGAUCGGCCACACUGGAACUGAGACACGGUCCAGACUCCGACGGGAGGCAGCAGUAGGGAAUCUUCCGCAAUGGGCGAAAGCUUGACGGAGCAACGCCGCGUGAGUGAUGAAGGUCUUCGGAUCGUAAAACUCUGUUAUUAGGGAAGAACAAAUGUGUAAGUAACUAUGCACGUCUUGACGGUACCUAAUCAGAAAGCCACGGCUAACUACGUG